ACGCGUUGGGAGCUCUCCCUAUGGUCGACCUGCAGGCGGCCGCGAAUUCACUAGUGAUUAGAGUUUGAUCCUGGCUCAGGGUGAACGUUGGUAGUGUGCUUAACACAUGCAAGUCGAGCGGAAGAUGAUAGCAAUAUUAUCUUUAGCGGCGUACGGGUGAGUAAUGCUUAUUUGAUCUGCCAAUUAGUGGGGGAUAGCCAUGAGAAAUCGUGGGUAAUACCGCAUUUGUUGCGUAUUCGUUUACGUAAUGAAAGGAGGUCUUUAGACCUUCGCUAGUUGAUGAGAAUAAGUCGUAUUAGCUAUUGGGUGUGGGUAAAUCCCACCUAGGCAAUGAUGCGUAGCUGGUUUGAGAGAAUGAACGGCCACAGGGGAACUGAGACACGGUCCCCACUCCUACGGGAGGCAGCAGUGAGGAAUAUUCGGCAACGUGGGCAAAAUCGAAUUCCCGCGGCCGCCAUGGCGGCCGGGAGCAUGCGAC
rnacentral:rRNA from 1 species